CCUCCACAUUGACUCAGUACCGUAAUACCCUGUAUAUAGCCUCCACAUUGACUCAGUACCGUAAUACCCUGUAUAUAGCCUCCACAUUGACUCAGUACCGUAAUACCCUGUAUAUAGCCUCCACAUUGACUCUGUAGCGGUACCCCCUGUAUAUAGCCUCCACAUUGACUCUGUACCGGUACCCCCUGUAUAUAGCCUCCACAUUGACUCUGUACCGGUACCCCCUGUAUAUAGCCUCCACAUUGACUCUGUACCGGUACCCCCUCUAUAUAGCCUCCACAUUGACUCUGUACCGGCACCCCCUGUAUAUAGCCUCCACAUUGACUCUGUACCGGUACCCCCUGUUAUAGCCUCCACAUUGACUCUGUACCGGUACCCCCUGUAUAUAGCCUCCACACUGACUCUGUACCGGUACCCCCUGUAUAUAGCCUCCACAUUGACUCUGUACCAGUACCCCCUGUAUAUAGCCUCCACAUUGACUCUGUACCGGUACCCCCUGUAUAUAGCCUCCACAUUCACUCUGUACCGGUACCCCCUGUAUAUAGCCUCCACAUUGACUCUGUACCGGUACCCCCUGUAUAUAGCCUCCACAUUGACUCUGUACCGGUACCCCCUGUAUAUAGCCUCCACAUUGACUCUGUACCGGUACCCCCUGUAUAUAGCCUCCACACUGACUCUGUACCGUAAUACCCUGUAUACAGCCUCCACAUUGACUCUGUACCAGUACCCCCUGUAUAUAGCCUCCACAUUGACUCUGUACCGGUACCCCCUGUAUAUAGCCUCAACAUUGACUCUGUACCGGUACCCCCUGUAUAUAGCCUCCACAUUGACUCUGUACCGGUACCCCCUGUAUAUAGCCUCCACAUUGACUCUGUACCGGUACCCCCUGUAUAUAGCCUCCACACUGACUCUGUACCGUAAUACCCUGUAUACAGCCUCCACAUUGACUCUGUACCAGUACCCCCUGUAUAUAGCCUCCACAUUGACUCUGUACCGGUACCCCCUGUAUAUAGCCUCCACAUUGACUCUGUACCGGUACCCCCUGUAUAUAGCCUCAGGUCUACUACACCUGUUGUAUUCAGCAUUUCACUGUGAGGUCUACUACACCUGUUGUAUUCAGCAUUUCACUGUAAGGUCUACUACACCUGUUGUAUUCAGCAUUUCACUGUAAGGUCUACACCUGUUGUAUUCAGCAUUUCACUGUAAGGUCUACUACACCUGUUGUAUUCAGCAUUUCACUGUGAGGUCUACUACACCUGUUGUAUUCAGCAUUUCACUGUGAGGUCUACUACACCUGUUGUAUUCAGCAUUUCACUGUGAGGUCUACUACACCUGUUGUAUUCAGCAUUUCACUGUGAAGUCUACUACACCUGUUGUAUUCAGCAUUUCACUGUGAGGUCUACUACACCUGUUGUAUUCAGCAUUUCACUGUGAGGUCUACUACACCUGUUGUAUUCAGCAUUUCACUGUGAGGUCUACUACACCUGUUGUAUUCAGCAUUUCACUGUGAGGUCUACUACACCUGUUGUAUUCAGCAUUUCACUGUGAGGUCUACUACACCUGUUGUAUUCAGCAUUUCACUGUAAGGUCU
rnacentral:lncRNA from 1 species